GUGGAGGGGGAAUGGAGGUGGGUCGACGGGGAAGACAUGCCGAGAGGAACGCCCUUCUGGGGAGACUAUAAUUACGUGCGCGAACCAGCUCAAGGCGCAGCGGCGAAUUGCGCCGCCCUGUAUGGCCCUGACGGGUUCUUGGUGCACGACGGCGCCUGUGGAUCGAAAUACAAGCCACUAUGUCAGAUUAAGUUAUCAAGGAAAUAAAUCACUGGAAUCUAUUUUUCAUAUACAUUGAUAUGCAUUGUUAUAAUUAUUGUCACACUCAAGUUUCUGAAAGGAAAUGGAAAUCGCGUCGAGAAAUGUAUCUCGUAAAGCAUUCGUUGCUUCACUGUAGUGGAAACCGAUAUGCUGUCAGGUGAAUAGGUAAAUAUGUUUACGAAAAUUUGUGUAUCUUUUUUUAAAGUUAAAUGAGUUUCAUGCAUCUCAUUACGGAUAAACUAUUUUUUUUUUAGAAAGAAAAUGCAAAUAAUUAUAUAUAUGCCAAGUUAAGAAUAAAUAGCCUUUUUAUGAAUAAACCUGAAAAAAA